rnacentral:rRNA from 1 species
GGCCAGACUCCUACGGGAGGCAGCAGUGGGGAAUAUUGCACAAUGGGGGAAACCCUGAUGCAGCGACGCCGCGUGAGUGAGGAAGUAUUUCGGUAUGUAAAGCUCUAUCAGCAGGGAAGAAAAUGACGGUACCUGAAGAAGAAGCCCCGGCUAACUACGUGCCAGCAGCCGCGGUAAUACGUAGGGGGCAAGCGUUAUCCGGAUUUACUGGGUGUAAAGGGGGCGCAGACGGCGAUGCAAGCCAGGAGUGAAAGCCCGGGGCCCAACCCCGGGACUGCUCUUGGAACUGCGUGGCUGGAGUGCAGGAGGGGCAGGCGGAAUUCCUGGUGUAGCGGUGAAAUGCGUAGAUAUCAGGAGGAACACCGGUGGCGAAGGCGGCCUGCUGGACUGCAACUGACGUUGAGGCCCGAAAGCGUGGGGAGCAAACAGGAUUAGAUACCCUUGUA